CCUACGGGUGGCAGCAGUGGGGAAUAUUGCACAAUGGGGGAAACCCUGAUGCAGCAACGCCGCGUGAGUGAAGAAGUAUUUCGGUAUGUAAAGCUCUAUCAGCAGGGAAGAAAAUGACGGUACCUGAAUAAGAAGCCCCGGCUAACUACGUGCCAGCAGCCGCGGUAAUACGUAGGGGGCAAGCGUUAUCCGGAUUUACUGGGUGUAAAGGGAGCGUAGACGGCAGUACAAGUCUGGAGUGAAAUGCCGGGGCUUAACCCCGGAACUGCUUUGGAAACUGUGCAGCUAGAGUGCUGGAGAGGUAAGUGGAAUUCCUAGUGUAGCGGUGAAAUGCGUAGAUAUUAGGAGGAACACCAGUGGCGAAGGCGGCUUACUGGACUGUAACUGACGUUGAGGCUCGAAAGCGUGGGGAGCAAACAGGAUUAGAUACCCGGGUAGUC
rnacentral:rRNA from 1 species